GCCCUCCCGCUGACUCUCUCUCUCUCUCUCUCUCUAUAUAUAUAUAUAUAUAUAUGUAUCCCCUUCACGGUGUCACGGCCGACACAUUAGGGUUUGAGGGGUUUUGCUUGGUUUGGCAGAGAUCAUGCUAGGGUCCAAGAUUUCGUCUCUUGAUCUUGUUUGAUUGGUUUUUUUUCUUAGCGUUUUUUUUGUUUGGGAUCACAAUGGACGGCUUGCAAGAGUUGCAGCAAGAGAAUCAGAAAGCUAUGAUUAAUAAGAUGAUCGGGGAACUUACGGAGCAAUAUUGGGGCAAGUGCAUCACUGGGACUCCCGGCAAUAAGUUCAGCUCACAAAAGAAUCAGUUUGCCUUACCAAUUGUGCUCAGCGUUUCAUGGAGAUUAGCAUGCUCAUGAUGAGAAAGCUUCAGUCCAUACAUACAGGGAAAGUGGAGUUUGUUUAAUUGUUUAUAUUGCAGUCAGAAUCCGUUAAUUCAUUUUCAUUACUGUAUAUAUGAUAUGGUAUCAGCAUCAAGCUGAUUAAUUGUUUCUUUAGGUUGUUUGAUUCUUGUUAGAGGUGAUUUGAAGUUUUGGACUUCUUCCCUGUAGCUUCAGAUAUUUUGAAUUAACAUGAUAGAUUUUGCAC